UACGUAGGGGGCUAGCGUUGUCCGGAAUCAUUGGGCGUAAAGAGCGUGUAGGCGGCCCGGUAAGUCCGCUGUAAAAGUCAAAGGCUCAACCUUUGAAUGUCAGUGGAUACUGUCGGGCUAGAGUCCGGAAGAGGCGAGUGGAAUUCCCGGUGUAGUGGUGGAAAUGCGUAGAGAUCCGGAGGAACACCGACGGCGUAGGCAGCGCCCUGGACGACACCUGACGCUGAGGCACGAAAGCUGGGGGAGCGAAACAGGAUUAGGAAAC
rnacentral:rRNA from 1 species